rnacentral:rRNA from 1 species
CCUACGGGUGGCUGCAGUGAGGAAUAUUGGUCAAUGGACGAAAGUCUGAACCAGCCAUGCCGCGUGCAGGAUGAAUGCCCUAUGGGUUGUAAACUGCUUUUAUAUAGGAAUAAACCCCUUUACGUGUAAAGGGCUGAAGGUACUAUAAGAAUAAGGACCGGCUAACUCCGUGCCAGCAGCCGCGGUAAUACGGAGGGUCCCAGCGUUAUCCGGAUUUAUUGGGUUUAAAGGGUCCGCAGGCGGCAGAGGAGAAAGCCUAUCGCUUAACGAUAGAACUGCCAUUGAUACUGUUUUUCUUGAGUAUAGUUGAAGUGGGCGGAAUGUGUGAUGUAGCGGUGAAAUGCAUAGAUAUGACACAGAACACCGAUUGCGAAGGCAGCUCACUAAAUUAUGACUGACGCUCAUGCACGAAAGCGUGGGGAGCAAACAGGAUUAGAUACCCGUGUAGUC